UACAGAGGUCUCGAGCGUUAGGCGGAAUCACUGGGCUUAAAGCGUGUGUAGGUGGAUCGUUAAGUACCUUGUGAAAUCCCACGGCUUAACCGUGGAACUGCUUGGUAUACUGGCGGUCUUGAGCCAGCUAGGGGCUACCGGAACAAAUGGUGGAGCGGUGAAAUGCGUAGAUAUCAUUGGAACGCCAAUGGUGAAAACAGGUAGCUGGGGCUGUGCUGACACU
rnacentral:rRNA from 1 species